rnacentral:rRNA from 1 species
UGAACGCUGGCGGCGUGCUUAACACAUGCAAGUCGAACGGGAAAUACUUCAUUGAGACUUCGGUGGAUUUGAUCUAUUUCUAGUGGCGGACGGGUGAGUAACGCGUGGGUAACCUGCCUUAUACAGGGGGAUAACAGUCAGAAAUGACUGCUAAUACCGCAUAAGCGCACAGGGCCGCAUGGCCCGGUGUGAAAAACUCCGGUGGUAUAAGAUGGACCCGCGUUGGAUUAGCUGGUUGGUGGGGUAACGGCCCACCAAGGCGACGAUCCAUAGCCGGCCUGAGAGGGUGAACGGCCACAUUGGGACUGAGACACGGCCCAGACUCCUACGGGAGGCAGCAGUGGGGAAUAUUGCACAAUGGGGGAAACCCUGAUGCAGCGACGCCGCGUGAAGGAAGAAGUAUCUCGGUAUGUAAACUUCUAUCAGCAGGGAAGAUAGUGACGGUACCUGACUAAGAAGCCCCGGCUAACUACGUGCCAGCAGCCGCGGUAAUACGUAGGGGGCAAGCGUUAUCCGGAUUUACUGGGUGUAAAGGGAGCGUAGACGGUGUGGCAAGUCUGAUGUGAAAGGCAUGGGCUCAACCUGUGGACUGCAUUGGAAACUGUCAUACUUGAGUGCCGGAGGGGUAAGCGGAAUUCCUAGUGUAGCGGUGAAAUGCGUAGAUAUUAGGAGGAACACCAGUGGCGAAG